rnacentral:rRNA from 1 species
CCUACGGGAGGCAGCAGUGGGGAAUAUUGGGCAAUGGGCACAAGCCUGACCCAGCAACGCCGCGUGAAGGAAGAAGGCCCUCGGGUUGUAAACUUCUUUUGUCAGGGACGAAGCAAGUGACGGUACCUGACGAAUAAGCCACGGCUAACUACGUGCCAGCAGCCGCGGUAAUACGUAGGUGGCAAGCGUUAUCCGGAUUUACUGGGGUGAAAGGGCGUGUAGGCGGGGAAGCAAGUCAGAUGUGAAAUUCCAGGGCUCAACCCUUGAACUGCAUUUGAAACUGGUUUUCUUGAGUGAUGGAGAGGCAGGCGGAAUUCCGUGUGUAGCGGUGAAAUGCGUAGAGAUACGGAGGAACACCAGUGGCGAAGGCGGCCUGCUGGACAUUAACUGACGCUGAGGCGCGAAAGCGUGGGGAGCAAACAGGAUUAGAUACCCUUGUAGUC